CCCCACACUGACUAGAAAAACCUCUAGCGAUGUUGUAAGGUGAUCGUACCGCAAACCGACACAGGUAGACGGGCUGAAAAUGCUCAGGCGUUGAGAUAAUUAUCAUUAAGGAACUCGGCAAAUUGGCCCCGUAACUUCGGGAGAAGGGGUGCCUGACUUUGUUAUGAGAGCAUGUCUCUCAGAGGCAUUGGUAGGCUUCAAUAAAUUGGCCCAAUCGACUGUUUAACAAAAACACAGGGCUCUGCAAACUCGUAAGAGGAAGUAUAGAGUCUGACGCCUGCCCAGUGCCGGAAGGUUAACGGGAGAUGUUCGUUCGAAAGAGCAAAGCAUUGAACCGAAGCCCCGGUAAACGGCGGCCGUAACUAUGACGGUCCUAAGGUAGCGAAGUACCUUGUCGGGUAAAUUCCGACCCGCAUGAAUGGCGUAACGAGUUGGGCGCUGUCUUGAUGAUACACUCAGUGAAUUUGUAGUGCAGGUGAAAAUGCCUGCUACCCGCAGAAGGACGGAAAGACCCCGUGCACCUUUACUGCAAUUUGACAUUGAUUUUUGAGUUUGUUUGUGUAGGAUAGGCGGGAGACUGCGAAGCUGCGACGCUAGUUGCAGUGGAGUCAACCUUGAAAUACCGCCCUUAUAAAUUUAAAGAUCUAACUUUGAUCCGUAAUCCGGGCAAAGGACAUUGUCUGAUGGGCAGUUUGACUGGGGUGGUCGCCUCCCAAAAUGUAACGGAGGCGUUCAAAGGUUCCCUCAAGAUGUAUAGAAAUCAUCUUAAGAGCGCAAAAGCAUAAGGGAGCUUGACUGCGAGACAUACAGGUCGAGCAGGUGCGAAAGCAGGAUUUAGUGAUCCAGUGGUUCUGUAUGGAAGGGCCAUUGCUAAACGGAUAAAAGGUACGCCGGGGAUAACAGGCUGAUCUCCUCUAAGAGUCCACAUCGACGAGGAGGUUUGGCACCUCGAUGUCGGCUCAUCACAUCCUGGGGCUGAAGAAGGUCCCAAGGGUUAGGCUGUUCGCCUAUUAAAGUGGUACGCGAGCUGGGUUCAGAACGUCGUAAGACAGUUCGGUCCUUAUCCUCUGUGGGCGUAGGGUAUUUGAGGAGGGCUGUUCCUAGUACGCAAGGACCGGGAUGGGUAAACCUCUAGUGUUCCAGUUGUUCUCCAAGAGCAAGCUGGGUAGCCAAGUUUAUUAGAGAUAACCGCUGAAAGCAUCUAAGUGGGAAACUCGCUCCAAGAUUAGAUACCCCUUGCCAAAACGCCCAAAUAAGUAAAUUUCGGUUUACAAGUUUGAUAAAGUUUGGCAUAUUAAUAAGGUCCCUCGAAGACUACGAGGUUGAUAGGUUGGGUGUGUAAGCAUAGUAAUGUGUUCAGCUAACCAAUACUAAUAGACCGAAUGUUUUAACCGC
rnacentral:rRNA from 1 species